GAUGAACGCUGACAGAAUGCUUAACACAUGCAAGUCAACUUGAAGCAGUUUCGGCUGUGGAUGGUGGCGGACGGGUGAGUAACGCGUAAAUAACUUGCCCUUUAGACUGGGACAACUGUUGGAAACGACAGCUAAUACCGGAUAUUAUGAAACCUUGGCAUCAAGGGAUUAUGAAAGCUAUAUGCGCUAGAGGAGAGAUUUGCGUCCUAUUAGCUAGUUGGUGAGGUAAUGGCUCACCAAGGCGACGAUAGGUAGCCGGCCUGAGAGGGUGAACGGCCACAAGGGGACUGAGACACGGCCCUUACUCCUACGGGAGGCAGCAGUGGGGAAUAUUGGACAAUGGACCAAGAGUCUGAUCCAGCAAUUCUGUGUGUUUGAUGAAGGCCUUCGGGUUGUAAAGAACUUUAAGUAGGGAAGAAGAAAGUGACGGUACCUACAGAAUAAGCGACGGCUAAAUACGUG
rnacentral:rRNA from 1 species